CCUCAUCUAAUAUGAACAUGUAAU
rnacentral:snRNA from 1 species